GACGAACGCUGGCGGUGUGCCUAAUACAUGCAAGUAGAACGCAGUUGCGAACGGGUGAGUAACGCGUAGGUAACUGCCUCAUAGCGGGCGAUAACUAUUGGAAACGAUAGCUAAUACCGCAUACUGUGAGAUUGACCUGCGAUUGAUUAGCUGGUUGGUGAGGUAAAGGCUCACCAGGGCGACGAUACAUAGCCGACCUGAGAGGAGGAUCGGCCACACUGGGACUGAGACAAGGCCCAGACUCCUACGGGAGGCAGCAGUGGGGAAGCUUCGGCAAUGGACGGAAGUCUGACGGGGCAACGCCGCGUGAGUGAGGACGGUUUUCGGAUCGUAAAGCUCUGUUGUUAGAGACGCGAUGACUAACCAGAAAGGGACGGCUAACUACGUGCCAGCAGCCGCGGUAAUAC
rnacentral:rRNA from 1 species